ACUUAUCUAAUAUAAAAAGUAUACUUGACUUCCAAUCAAGAGGUUUGUAUCAACAAGCUAAGUA
rnacentral:tRNA from 1 species